rnacentral:rRNA from 1 species
CCUAGGGAGGCAGCAGUGGGGAAUAUUGGACAAUGGGGGGAACCCUGAUCCAGCCAUGCCGCGUGUGUGAAGAAGGCCCUCGGGUUGUAAAGCACUUUCAGUGAGGAAGAACGCCUGGUGGUUAAUACCCAUCAGGAAAGACAUCACUCACAGAAGAAGCACCGGCUAACUCCGUGCCAGCAGCCGCGGUAAUACGGAGGGUGCGAGCGUUAAUCGGAAUUACUGGGCGUAAAGCGCGCGUAGGUGGCUUGAUAAGCCGGUUGUGAAAGCCCCGGGCUCAACCUGGGAACGGCAUCCGGAACUGUCAAGCUAGAGUGCAGGAGAGGAAGGUAGAAUUCCCGGUGUAGCGGUGAAAUGCGUAGAGAUCGGGAGGAAUACCAGUGGCGAAGGCGGCCUUCUGGACUGACACUGACACUGAGGUGCGAAAGCGUGGGUAGCAAACAGGAUUAGAUACCCUAGUAGUC